rnacentral:rRNA from 1 species
AUUGAACGCUGGCGGCAGGCCUAACACAUGCAAGUCGAACGAGUGGCGUACGGGUGAGUAAUGUCUGGGACACUGCCUGAUGGAGGGGGAUAACUACUGGAAACUGUAUCUAAUACCGCCUACCAUCAGCUUUGCCCAGAUGGGAUUAGCUAGUUGGUGGGGUAACGGCUCACCAAGGCGACGAUCCCUAGCUGGUCUGAGAGGAUGACCAGCCAAACUGGAACUGAGACACGGUCCAGACGCCUACGGGAGGCAGCAGUGGGGAAUAUUGGACAAUGGGCGAAAGCCUGAUGCAGCCAUGCCGCGUGUAUGAAGAAGGCCUUCGGGUUGUAAAGUACUUUCAGCGGGGAGGCGUUACCCGCAGAAGAAGCACCGGCUAACUCCGUGCCAGCAGCCGCGGUAAUAC